GCAAAGGCGCACCAGGAUAGGAAGGCAGCAGAGGUCAGCCAA
rnacentral:SRP_RNA from 13 species